rnacentral:rRNA from 1 species
CGAACGCUGGCGGCGUGCUUAACACAUGCAAAUCGACCGGCAAGUCCCUGCUUUUGUGGGGUGCUCGAGUGGCGAACGGGUGAGUAACACGUGAGUAACCUGCCCUUGACUUUGGGAUAACUUCAGGAAACUGGGGCUAAUACCGGAUAGGAGCUCCUGCUGCAUGGUGGGGGUUGGAAAGUUUCGGCGGUUGGGGAUGGACUCGCGGCUUAUCAGCUUGUUGGUGGGGUAGUGGCUUACCAAGGCUUUGACGGGUAGCCGGCCUGAGAGGGUGACCGGCCACAUUGGGACUGAGAUACGGCCCAGACUCCUACGGGAGGCAGCAGUGGGGAAUAUUGCACAAUGGGCGGAAGCCUGAUGCAGCAACGCCGCGUGCGGGAUGACGGCCUUCGGGUUGUAAACCGCUUUCGCCUGUGACGAAGCGUGAGUGACGGUAAUGGGUAAAGAAGCACCGGCUAACUACGUG